AGUCCUGUAGUGUAGUGGUCCAUCAUUUCGGGUUUUGGUCCCGGGGACACCGGUUCGACUCCGGUCAGGACUA
rnacentral:tRNA from 2 species